CUAACGAUUGAUCUAGUUACUUAGAAAGAUGAAGCUUAUGAAAAUAAUAAUUAAUUAAUUUUAAUUAUUAAAGAAAAAUAAGAAUGAAAAAUAUAAAAUCUGAUUAAUAUAUUAAAUAAUGAUUGAUAUAUUAAUUAAGGUCUCAACUAAAAUCAGUGCCAGCAGUUGCGGUUAGACUGAGGAGGCUUACGUUAGUCGGUAGUUGGUUUAAAGGAUCCGCAGGUGAUAUAGUAAAUAUAUUAGAGUUAAAUAUUAAAAUUAUUGAAUAAUCAAAGGAAACGAUAAUAUGUUUUGAUAAUGAUUAGACAUUUAAAAGUGAAAGUUAUAUUUUGAUAUUUAACUGACACUCAGUGGAUGAAGAUGUGAGUAGCAAAUCGGAUUAGAUACCCGCUUAGUUCACAUUGUAAACUAUGAACACUAUUGGUUAAUUAAUAAUCAUGUUACCUUAUGGCUUUAAUUAUUAAUUCUAUAUANGUGAAAACUUAAGUAUUCCGCCAGGUG
rnacentral:rRNA from 1 species